CGACAGUCGAAGCGCAUCAGAGACGUAACUUUGUGCAGGAAAAUGGGUGUGUCCAAGCUACUGCGAAGUAACUGGACGUAGUAUUUGCAAACGAACAGGAGAAAACGUACAGAUCAAUUACACGAAAUCGCGUUUGAUAUAUAAAACAAACUUGUCGCUCCUAAGAACUAGGAAAAUACUACAACGAUUAAUCCAGAACAUACUAUACCAACUCUAGACGACAACGGCUUUAUUAUAUGGGACAGGUACUUGGAGGCCGGAUCAUCCAUGAUGGACUUACAUUUUCAGUACAGAAUUGGAGUAUCAACUA